rnacentral:lncRNA from 1 species
GCCCAGAUCCUAAAUACAACUGUAAAUGUAGGGAGUCAGAAAUGAUGCGAUUAUGCUGAUAAGUGGACUCUGACAAUGAAGCCCUGGUAAAUUCCAAUCAUUGAUUUUCCAGCCACAGUGGAGACCGUCUCGAGAGUCAGGGCUCUCAAGCCCUAAAGUGCAUGAAACUAUUUCUUUGGCAGCUCUGGCUUCACUGGAACCCUCGCCUACAAAGAGAA